rnacentral:rRNA from 1 species
UUGAAUUGAAGAGUUUGAUCAUGGCUCAGAUUGAACGCUGGCGGCAGGCUUAACACAUGCAAGUCGAA